rnacentral:rRNA from 1 species
GAUGAACGCUGGCGGCGUGCCUAAUACAUGCAAGUCGAACGCUGGAAAUCUAGCUUGCUAGAUUGAAGGAGUGGCGAACGGGUGAGUAAUACAUAAGCAACCUACCCACGAAGACUGGGAUAAUCUCUGGAAACGGGGACUAAUACCGGAUAGGUAAUCGGAAGGCAUCUUCUGAUUAUUAAAGGUUAAAAACACUGGUGGAUGGGCUUAUGGCGCAUUAGUUAGUUGGUGAGGUAACGGCCCACCAAGACGAUGAUGCGUAGCCGGCCUGAGAGGGUGAACGGCCACAUGGGGACUGAGACACGGCCCAGACUCCUACGGGAGGCAGUAGUAGGGAAUUUUCGGCAAUGGGGGAAACCCUGACCGAGCAACGCCGCGUGAGUGAUGACGGCCUUCGGGUUGUAAAGCUCUGUUGUAAGGGAAGAACGGUAGAUAGAGAAUAUCUAAAUGACGGUACCUUACCAGAAAGCCACGGCUAACUACGUG